UAUAAAGUCCCUCUCCAACAUUUUAAUUUUUUAAAAUAGAACUCACCAUGUUGUCGUUAUCAAGUUUAGGUUUAUUGUACUGCAUAAGCUAUGUCACAUCACACUGGGUUCCAGAAAUGGAAGACAAAGACCUUUUUGAAGGAGACAUGAUAUUGGAUCCUGAU